ensembl:lncRNA AFG3L1P AFG3 like matrix AAA peptidase subunit 1, pseudogene
UCAUCUGGCCUCCUGUUCCAGUGCUUCCAGGGGAUCCACGUUCAGAAGCUGACUCUGCAGGCAAGACCGACGUUAUUUUCCUGGUGGCUGUGUUCAAAACCACCCAAAGGGUUUGAGAAAUACUUUAAGAGGAGUGGAAGGAACACAAACUGAGAAACAUCAACAGCACCAAAAAAAGAGACUGGUGAACUAGAGAAUGCUGAGUCUGGAGGAGACGGAGGCAGGAGAGGAGGGAAGCAGGAUAACGUUGCCUGGUGGAGGCGGAUGCAGAAGGGGGGACUUCCCCUGGGAUGACGAGGAUUUCCGCAGUCUGGCCCUUUUGGGGGCAGGCGUUGCCAUGGGAUUUUUCUACCUCUAUUUUCGAGAUCCUGGAAGAGAAAUCACGUGGAAGCACUUUGUACAGUAUUACCUGGCCAGAGGUCUGGUGGACCGGCUGGAAGUCGUGAACAAACAAUCUGUGCGUGUUAUUCCUGCCCCUGGGACCUCUUCUGAAACGUAGCUGGGUGCGAAGAAUCAAAUUGGAAAUUAUGGAAUUUGUGAAUUUCCUGAAGAAUCCCAAGCAGUAUCAGGACUUAGGAGCAAAAAUUCCAAAGGGAGCCAUGCUCACUGGUCCUCCUGGUACCGGCAAGACCCUUCUUGCCAAAGCAACUGCAGGGGAGGCCACUGUGCCCUUCAUCACUGUGAACGGGUCUGAGUUCCUGGAAAUGUUUAUUGGCGUUGGGCCAGCAAGGGGUUCAACUCUGCCACCAACGUCGUGGUGUUGGCUGGCACCAACCGCCCUGACGUCCUGGACCCGGCCCUCAUGCGGCCUGGCCGGUUUCAUCGCCAGAUUUACACUGGUCCCCCUUACAUUAAAGGCAGGUCCUCCAUCUUUAAGGUCCACCUGCGCCCACUGAAGCUGGACAAGAGCCUCAAUAAGGACACCCUGGCGAGGAAGCUGGCAGUGCUCACCCCAGGCUUCCCUGGUGUCCAUCAUACCCCAGGGCAAGGGGCUCCGCUACGCACAGUACCUGCCCCGGGAGCAGCAGCUCUACACCCAGGAGCAGCUCUUCGACCGCACGUGCAUGAUGCUCGGGGGCCGGGUAGCCGAGCAGCUGUGCUCCGGGUAGAUCACUAUGGGGGCUCAGGACGACCUGAGGAAGGUCACCCAGAGUGCCUACGCCCAGGUUGUGCAGUUUGGGGUGAGUGAGAAGCUGGGCCAGGUGUCCUUCGACUUUUCCCGACACGGCAAGACCCUGGUGGAGAAGCUGUACGGCGAGGCAAGCGCCCAGCUCCUUGAUGACGAGGUCCGGCACCUCGUCAGUGCCACCUACAGGUGCACCCUGGACCUGCUGACACGGUGCCGGGAGCAUGUGGAGAAGGUGGGCCAGCGGCUCCUGGAGAAGGAAGUACUGGAGAAGGCAGACAUGGUGGAGCUGCUGGGCCCCCGGCCCUUCUCGGAGAAGUCUACCUAUGAGGAGUUUGUA